UUAAGUAGAAAAGAGCGCACGGAGGAUGCCUUGGCACUAGGAGCCGAAGAAGGACGUGACAAACGACGAAACGCUACGGGGAGCUGUAAGUAAGCAAAGAUCCGUAGAUAUCCGAAUGGGGGAACCCACCGCUUUUAAAAGGGCGGUACGCGAAAGCGAGGUAACGCAGGGAACUGAAACAUCUAAGUACCUGUAGGAAGAGAAAGAAAAAUCGAUUUCCUAAGUAGCGGCGAGCGAAAGGGAAAGAGCCCAAACCAAUAUGCUUGCAUAUUGGGGUUGUAGGACUCUCAAAAAAACGUAUGACAAAGUAUAGUAGAACGAGCUGGAAAGUUAGACCGUAGAAGGUAAAAGUCCUGUAUACGAAAUGCUGAGUUGGCGUGAGAGAGCACCUGAGUACGGCGGAACACGAGGAAUUCCGUCGGAAUCUACCAGGACCAUCUGGUAAGGCUAAAUACUACCUAGUGACCGAUAGUGAACCAGUACCGUGAGGGAAAGGUGAAAAGAACCCCGGGAGGGGAGUGAAAGAGAACCUGAAACCGUGUGCUUACAAGUAGUCAGAGCCCUUUAGGGGGUGAUGGCGUGCCUUUUGUAGAAUGAACCGGCGAGUUACUUUAUCAUGCGAGGUUAAGUGGAAGACAUGGAGCCGAAGCGAAAGCGAGUCUUAAUAGGGCGAAAUAGUAUGAUGGAGUAGACCCGAAACCAAGUGAUCUACCCAUGGCCAGGUUGAAGUUUAGGUAACACUGAAUGGAGGACCGAACCAGGACACGUUGAAAAGUGUUUGGAUGAGCUGUGGGUAGCGGAGAAAUUCCAAUCGAACUUGGAAAUAGCUGGUUCUCUCCGAAAUAGCUUUAGGGCUAGCCUCGUUGUGAGUUUACUGGAGGUAGAGCACUGUUUGGACUAGGGGCCCAUCCCGGGUUACCGAAUUCAGACAAACUCCGAAUGCCAGAUAAAUAUCAACGGGAGUCAGACUGCGGGUGAUAAGGUUCGUAGUCGAAAGGGAAACAGCCCAGACCGCCAGCUAAGGUCCCAAAUUGUAUGUUAAGUGGAAAAGGAUGUGAUGAUGCACAGACAACCAGGAUGUUGGCUUAGAAGCAGCCACCAUUUAAAGAGUGCGUAAUAGCUCACUGGUCGAGUGACAUCGCGCCGAAAAUGUACCGGGGCUAAACAUACAACCGAAGCUGCGGAUAUAACUAAUGUUAUAUGGUAGGAGAGCGUUCUAACAUCAUAGAAGCCGAACUGGAAGGUGAGGUGGAGAGGUUAGAAGUGAGAAUGCCGGUGUGAGUAGCGAAAGAUAGGUGAGAAUCCUAUCCACCGAAAGACUAAGGUUUCCAGAGGAAGGCUCGUCCGCUCUGGGUAAGUCGGGACCUAAGGUGAAGCCGAUAGGUGAAGCCGAUGGACAACAGGUAGAAAUUCCUGUACCACCGAAUAUCGAUUGAGAGAAGUGGGGACAGAGGAGGCUAAUUGAUCGCCCUGAUGGAAUAGGGCGUCUAAGCACAAAGACUGACAAGUAGGCAAAUCCGCUUGUUGUAAAGGUUGAAGUGUGAUGGGGAGCGAAAUAUAGUAGCGAAGUCAAUGAAGCCAAACUCUCAAGAAAAGCCGCUAUCGAGAUAAGAGGUGCCCGUACCGCAAACCGACACAGGUAGUUGGGAAGAGAAUUCUAAGGUGAGCGAGAGAACCAUCGUUAAGGAACUCGGCAAAAUGACCCCGUAACUUCGGGAGAAGGGGUGCCUACGAGAGUAGGCCGCAGUGAAUAGGCCCAAGCGACUGUUUAUCAAAAACACAGGUCUCUGCAAAACCGAAAGGUGAAGUAUAGGGGCUGACGCCUGCCCGGUGCUGGAAGGUUAAGAGGAGUGCUUAGCGCAAGCGAAGGUAUGAAUUGAAGCCCCAGUAAACGGCGGCCGUAACUAUAACGGUCCUAAGGUAGCGAAAUUCCUUGUCGGGUAAGUUCCGACCCGCACGAAAGGCGUAA
rnacentral:rRNA from 1 species